AGGUACAGCAUGGACUAUAUUUUUAGUGGUGCUCUCUGAGGAUAAAGUGUUUCACUUAGAAGAAAUGAAUUACCCUGAAAAGAGAAGAAAUGAGACUUUAGAAACCAAAGGACAAUUUGAAAGGCACCAUCAGGAAAUGGACUGUCUGCCGUAACUGAGCCAUCCUGCAACCUGUUGGCAGCUC